UUAUAAGAAAUUUCCCAAUUUUAAUACAUUGUGUGGCCCAUCAAUUUGCAACCUCUGCCUUAAAUGGAAACAUGCUUAUAUGCCAACAUUGGUCUAUUUUUGAGUAAAAAGAAGAGAAAAGCAUAACUACAUGAAAAUACAUGUUAAGAGUAGCAAAAGUUUUUCCAUAAUCUUAAGUCCAUUUAAGAUACUAAACAGAGAAAGCAGAACCUCAGCAAUUACACAAGAUGUCCAUAAUAAGCUUUAUUAUUAUAGCUUGAAUAUGACAUUCAUAGGAUUAUGUAUAUUUGUUUAUGGUUUCAGGCUUAUAGACAACUUUGUAAUACUUAAAAAAUUAAAAAUUGUAUGUAAUCAUGAAAGGCUUUGAAUAAAUAGCCAGAACUUACACUUCAACAAGUUUAUUUAUAAAUUCUAGAAAAUCCAACAGUGGUAGAGUGUUUUUAUGUUCACCCAAAUAGUGAUUAACCUAAGUAUAACUUAUCAAAACCACAAAACCUUUGUUUGGACAUCCUCAUUAAAAUGAAGCAAUUCAAGGUAGAGUUGCCCUUAUCAAGCAAGAUUGAAACAAAACAACACAAGACUGUCCUAGAAAGAAUUACUAACUUUGAUUCUUACUUUAAAUUAAGAAAGUAUUUCAGGGGACCGGCUCAGCGGCACAGCAGUUAAGUUUGCACGUUCCGCUUCGGCAGCCCAGGGUUCGCCAGUUCAGAUCCCGGGUGUGGGCCUACGUACUACUUGGCAAGCCAUGCUGUGGUAGGCAUCCCACAUAUAAAGUAGAGGAAGAUGGGCACGGAUGUUAGCUCAGGGCCAGUCUUCCUCAGCAAAAAGAGGAGGAUUGGCAGCAGAUGUUAGCUCAGGGCUAAACUUCCCCCCCAAAAAAAAAAAAUUGAGUAUUUCCCUGAGGCAACAUAUUCCUUGCUUCAAAUAGCAUGCUUUGGACUCAUUCUUGCACUGAAGUUAUUUCCCUCACCUGGCUCUACGAAACCGGAGCCCAAACAAAUAUUCAACUGAACAAUAUGGACUCCAACACCGCCAAGAUACCGAUGAAACAGAAACACACACAAAAUUAAGACAAUCUUCAACAACAAACUAAAUAUUUAAAAAGUCAUAAACUUCAGAUGACUCAUGGAAAGAAACUUACUAUUUUCUUAUAAAUUUUGACUCUUUUAACAAAGUCAAGCUUACAGCAGGUUAACCAGCAUUGAAUACACAACCAUCCCCAUGUCUGCUAUUGCCCUGUUUUGUUCCUAUAAAAGUGAGCCCCCACAGACAACUUGGUUACCAAAAAAUGCUGCUUUUCCUCAGAAAUCUUUAAAAUAUCUUUUAGGAAGUACAAUCUAUGUGCUCUGGGUGCUUUCAGAACUGAAUUAUGAGAAACGCCUUCCUGCCCCAAGGUGCCGUGAAAAAUCUUAUCUGAAGCAUUUCCAAGGCAGUCAUCAAACUGACUACUUAAUUCAGUAGAUACAGCAAAUAAAUUCCUGCAGGGAAAAAACCCACAUCAGUAAAAAGGGUAGAAAAAUUAGUGCAUUUCAUUAGACAGUCCUUCAACAAGCAAGGCACUGAUUAUUUUCAGCAUCUGAAUUAUGAUCAGAAAUUGGAAUUAGUAAGGUCUAAGAGAGAAAAUUCCAGUACUUAAAAAGAAGCAUUUGCUGAGUCCCGAGGAGCAGAGCUGCAUAACCCUAGAGCUAGAGUUGUGAGAGGAGGAGAGGCCUGCACACAAGUUCUGGAGUGAAGCUCCAGGCGGACUGAAGGUCCUAUAGACAUCCCCCGUCAUCCUCUCACAGUGUGGCCACUUUAGUGUAGGAAGUGCAUGGCGUUAUCUGCAUUAAGAGGGCCUGCGAUAGCUCCCAAGAGUCCUCUGCCACUCCAGGUAACAUGGUAGAAUAUGCAAAUUUUCCUUUGAUUCCAAAAGGGCACCAGAAUUGCAAGAGAAAAUAAGAAAGAACAAGAGCGAGAGCAAGAGAGAGAAAGAGAAAGAGACAGAGAGACAGUGAAGGAGAGAGAGAGAAUACCUGAAAGGCUGCUGAGACAAGGAAAGGAAUAGAGGAAGUAAACUAACCACUGGAGAUGGAUGGAAACGUGUUAUCCAAGCACGUCUGGGAGAAAAGUUGUGAUUAAGAGAAGCUAGUAAGAAAAAAGAUUCAGCAGCUAAUGCCAACAAGAAUGAAGAGCCAGGAUGAAACACCCUCUCUGAUGAAGCAACGCUUCAUAACCUCCCUCUAAACUUAGGGCAGCCCUACAGAUAAAAGGAAAGGAGGAAAACUCUGGAUGACUUUGAGAACAUCUGAAUUAGCUAUGAGAAACCUGAACUAAGUGAGCAAUUACUCAAUUGAUCAAGCUUAUAUUUGCAUCAGUGGAAUUGGAACCCUAGGAAUGAUUAACUUCAGUUAUUUUUACAAUAGAGAAGAAUUAUAUUUCUUAUAUUCUUGAGUUUUGUGGAUUAAAAAUUUACAUUGAUGCAAUUAUUAUGAAUACUCGGUAAACAUUUUAGUCUAUUCUUUCAGUCUUUUUCCCAUUCAAAUAUUAUAUUUAAUGCUUUUGGCUUUGGGUUGGGGUGGUUCACAAAAAUCCAGCUCAUACUGUCAAGUGGUUUCACUUGCUAUAAUAAUAACAGUAACAAAGAUGAUGAAUAAUAACACAUAUAGCAGUUGCUCUAUGUCAGGAAAUUUGCUAAGCAUUUUAAAUAUACUAAUUAAUUUAAGCUUCACAGCUACCUAAUGAAGAAGCUUCCCUUAUCAUCCCAUCUACCAGAUGAAAAGACCAAGGCACAGAGAGUAAGACGUACACCAGGAAGUGGCAAGAUCAGGACCCAGAAGCCUUUUCCCCUAAAGCUGUGAGCUCAUUGAAGGCCAGGACCAUGUGUGGUUCAUCAUUGUACUCCUAAUUGUCGGUAAGUCCCAAUGUCUGGAACGUAGUCCCUGCCACAUGAGAGAGAUUCAGAAAAGGUGUUGAACAUAGGAAUAAAUAGGCACUAGGAGAACAUUAAAAUGCCAGUAAUAGGAGCUUUCAUUUGGUCAUUGUUUCUAACUUUAAAAAAGAGUUUUCACCUUUAGUCAUAUGUUCUAAAAUCAAAACCUAGCCUUGAUCAUUUCAGGAUCCAUUCCUUGCGCUGAUGAUGGCUCUAUAAAAUUCCUUUACUCCUUCACAGUCAAUUGACCGUGACACGUAAAAGAGGAGAGCUUUGGGGAUCAAGAUGCUAACAAUAAACAAAAUAUCAGAUCCAGGCACACAAAGCUGCCAUAAGACACUCAAAUGUUCAGCCACCACUUCACAUUACUAUUGCAAGGAAUAAGCAAGGGACCUUGUCUGUCUGCUCGUGUGAUGUGACAUUGGAAACCUAUCGAUUAGUCUGUCUCUCUGCAAGCUGGAUUCUCUAAAUGAUUGCCCUGGGCAGGGUAUAAACUAAUUCCCUCAAACUUUUUGACAACUCCAGUCUGCUGCACCAUGUACCACACCUGGCUGUUGCUCCUAAAGAUGUACCCUCCCCAUCCAGCCUCCCAUCCAUGUAUAAUGGUUGUUCAUCCUUGUGUUCGUAUUUACCACAGAUAGUAACACAGCACCUGCUACUCCGGCUCUGAUCACUGUCAUAUCUAAGCUCGUCAAGUGACAUUGCUGUACCAAGAGACAAAGGUGAGGGUUGGGCACAAGAGAAUACACAAGAGUUUUGGAAAGCAGAAGUGAAGCAGGAGCAAUUCUGUUCUGAAGGUGAGUGCAGGGCGUGUGCCCUCCACAUCCACACCCGUGAGCUGGCUCACCUUUUCACAGCAGCUGGUUCUCAAAGCCUGGCUUUCUUUCUAGAUUUCCUCCUCCCAGUGCUCCAAGUCCUGGGGCAGAUGAGUAUGUGGCUCCACAGUGAAGACUGCCAGUUCCUUCCAUGGGUCACCCACAACUUUGAGAUUGGUGAAAAAGAGACGAGGACUCCAGCUUGCUUUCGUGGGCCCAGUUCAUCCUUGCUCGAACACCCCUCACCUUCAUGUCCUGCUUUUCUUCCUGACUUUCACACCAGAAGACCUACAGUGACUUCAGCUCCGCUACCAAAAAGCAGCCUCCAUGCCCUUUUCACCAGCUCCCACCACUGCCUUCAGUUUCAUCCCCAAUAAUAAAUCCCAUCUUUCACGUGAGGAAUGGUGGUUCUGCUUCUCUUUUGAACUGUAACCGAUCAGCCAAAAUUAUUGAAAG
rnacentral:lncRNA from 1 species